rnacentral:rRNA from 1 species
UCGGGAAUUUUGGGCAAUGGGCGAAAGCCUGACCCAGCAACGCCGCGUGAAGGAUGAAGUAUUUCGGUAUGUAAACUUCGUAAGAAUAGGAAGAAUAAAUGACGGUACUAUUUGUAAGGUCCGGCUAACUACGUGCCAGCAGCCGCGGUAAUACGUAGGGACCAAGCGUUGUUCGGAUUUACUGGGCGUAAAGGGCGCGUAGGCGGUUUGUCAAGUCAGUUGUGAAAUCUCCGAGCUUAACUCGGAACGGUCAACUGAUACUGUCAAACUAGAGUACAGAAGGGGCAAUCGGAAUUCUUGGUGUAGCGGUGAAAUGCGUAGAUAUCAAGAGGAACACCUGAGGUGAAGACGGGUUGCUGGGCUGACACUGACGCUGAGGCGCGAAAGCCAGGGGAGCAAACGGGAUUAGAUACCCCCGUAGUCCCUGAGCGGGCUGGCAAGGCGCAU